rnacentral:rRNA from 1 species
GGCUCAGGAUUAACGCUGGCGGCGUGCCUAAUACAUGCAAGUCGAAUGGUAGCAAUACCAUGGCGAACGGGUGAAGUAACACGUAGGUAACCUGUCUUUAAGCCGAGGAUAACCAUUGGAAACGAUGGAUAAUACUGGAUAGGACAUUUGAAGGCAUCUUUAGAUGUUUAAAGAUUUAUCACUUAGAGAGGGGCCUGCGGCGCAUUAGCUAGUUGGUGAGGUGAAGGCUUACCAAGGCGAUGAUGCGUAGCCGGACUGAGAGGUUGAACGGCCACAAUGGAACUGAGAACGGUCCAUACUCCUACGGGAGGCAGCAGUAGGGAAUUUUCGGCAAUGGGCGGAAGCCUGACCGAGCAACGCCGCGUGAACGAAGAAGUAUUUCGGUAUGUAAAGUUCUUUUAUUAGGGACGAAAAGACAGAUUGACGGUACCUAAUGAAUAAGCUCCGGCUAAUUACGUGCCAGCCGCCGC